GCCUGGGUGGCUCAGUCGGUUGAGCGUCUGACUUCGGCUCAGGUCAUGAUCUCGCAGUUCGUGAGUUCGAGCCCCGCGUCGGGCU
rnacentral:tRNA from 1 species